rnacentral:rRNA from 1 species
UACGUAGGGUGCAAGCGUUGUCCGGAAUUAUUGGGCGUAAAGAGCUCGUAGGCGGUUUGUCGCGUCUGGUGUGAAAACCUCAGGCUCAACCUGGGGCGUGCAUCGGGUACGGGCAGACUAGAGUGCGGUAGGGGGAGACUGGAAUUCCUGGUGUAGCGGUGGAAUGCGCAGAUAUCAGGAGGAACACCGAUGGCGAAGGCAGGUCUCUGGGCCGCAACUGACGCUGAGGAGCGAAAGCAUGGGGAGCGAACAGG